CCUACGGGAGGCUGCAGUGGGGAAUAUUGGACAAUGGGCGAAAGCCUGAUCCAGCCAUGCCGCGUGUGUGAAGAAGGCCUUCGGGUUGUAAAGCACUUUCAGUGGGGAAGAAAGCCUUGGGGCUAAUACCCUCGAGGAAGGACAUCACCCACAGAAGAAGCACCGGCUAACUCCGUGCCAGCAGCCGCGGUAAUACGGAGGGUGCGAGCGUUAAUCGGAAUUACUGGGCGUAAAGCGCGCGUAGGCGGUCUGAUAAGCCGGUUGUGAAAGCCCCGGGCUCAACCUGGGAACGGCAUCCGGAACUGUCAGGCUAGAGUGCAGGAGAGGAAGGUAGAAUUCCCGGUGUAGCGGUGAAAUGCGUAGAGAUCGGGAGGAAUACCAGUGGCGAAGGCGGCCUUCUGGACUGACACUGACGCUGAGGUGCGAAAGCGUGGGUAGCAAACAGGAUUAGAACCCAAGUC
rnacentral:rRNA from 1 species